rnacentral:rRNA from 1 species
GGUGGAUCAUGUGGUUUAAUUCGCAGAGACGUGCAGCACCUUGCGAGGUCUUGACAUCCUUAGCCGCGGUGUAGAGAUACGCCUUUCCGUUCGGGGACAGGGGUGACAGUUGGUGCAUGGUGGUCGUCAGCUGAAAUAUUAAGAUAAUAGGUUACAUCCAGCACCAAGCGCAACCUUUGAUGUUAGUGACAGGUUCAGUUGGGCAAUGUAAGGUAAUUACAGGAGACAAACCGGAGGAAGGUGGGGAUGACGUCAAAUCAUCAUGCCCCUUAUGACCUGGGCUACACACGUCCUACAAUCAUAGAUACAAAGGGCUGCAAACCCGGGAGGGGGAGCCAAUCCCAGAAAUCUUGGAGCAGUUGGCAGGGUAGGCUGCAACUCUUUGCAUGAAGCAAAAAUCGCUAGUAAUCGUGGAUCAGCACCCCACUGUGAAUCGUUACCGAGCCAUGCCCAC